rnacentral:tRNA from 1 species
CGGGAUAUCGUAUAGAGGUAGUACGCGCGCUUCGGGUGCGUGUAGCCCCGGUUCGAUUCCGGGUAUCCCGACCA